UACGUAGGGAGCAAGCGUUGUCCGGAUUCACUGGGUGUAAAGGGUGCGCAGGCGGACUUUCAAGUCAGACGUGAAAUCCCCAGGCUCAACCUGGGAACUGCGUCUGAUACUGGUUGGCUUGAAUCCGGGAGAGGGAUGCAGAAUUCCAGGUGUAGCGGUGAAAUGCGUAGAUAUCUGGAGGAAUACCGGUGGCGAAGGCGGCAUCCUGGACCGGCAUUGACGCUGAGGAGCGAAAGCUAGGGGAGCAAACGGG
rnacentral:rRNA from 1 species